rnacentral:rRNA from 2 species
CCCUGAUGUUAGCGGCGGACGGGUGAGUAACACGUGGGUAACCUGCCUGUAAGACUGGGAUAACUCCGGGAAACCGGGGCUAAUACCGGAUGGUUGUUUGAACCGCAUGGUUCAAACAUAAAAGGUGGCUUCGGCUACCACUUACAGAUGGACCCGCGGCGCAUUAGCUAGUUGGUGAGGUAACGGCUCACCAAGGCAACGAUGCGUAGCCGACCUGAGAGGGUGAUCGGCCACACUGGGACUGAGACACGGCCCAGACUCCUACGGGAGGCAGCAGUAGGGAAUCUUCCGCAAUGGACGAAAGUCUGACGGAGCAACGCCGCGUGAGUGAUGAAGGUUUUCGGAUCGUAAAGCUCUGUUGUUAGGGAAGAACAAGUACCGUUCGAAUAGGGCGGUACCUUGACGGUACCUAACCAGAAAGCCACGGCUAACUACGUGCCAGCAGCCGCGGUAAUACGUAGGUGGCAAGCGUUGUCCGGAAUUAUUGGGCGUAAAGGGCUCGCAGGCGGUUUCUUAAGUCUGAUGUGAAAGCCCCCGGCUCA